AUACUCUGGUUUCUCUUCAAAUCGCAUAAAUCUUUCGCCUUUUACUAAAGAUUUCCGUGGAGAGGAACGAUUCUGGGUUUUAAUCAAUUUUUGAAGCCUUGUUUUUUCGACAAGGC
ensembl:snRNA U5 U5 spliceosomal RNA